GCAGCGGCCAGCCGAGCAUCCCUACAGUAUGCCUAUCUCGUGUUUGCUGGCUUAGUCCACCCCUCUCCCACUAAUCCUGUCCUGCAAGGGACUGAUCUCGUCCAUCUCCAAGGCAUCCCGCCGAUUGCUGUAAAAAUACGCUUUCGGUUUUCUACUGCUUCCUAGGGUUUCGCCGUUUUCCUGGAACGAUGUACGCCGACCGGGUCACCGCGGGGACCAAGCGCUCCAUCAAGGAGCGCCUUGACGGUGACAUGGAAGAGGAUCUUGGCCAGCGCCGGAAGCCAGAGUUGAAAAGGCAGCGCCAGGUUGAUGACAAAUGGAAACAUGAUCUUUUUGAGGGUGACAAAGAAUCUUCAUCUUCAAAAUCUAAAGUUGGCCCUAAGGAUCUCCGGUUUAAGCUUCAACAGAAAGUUCCUCAACAAAUUAUCCAAAGAGGGAAAGAUGCUGGAGUAAGAGAUCUCCGAGAAAAACUUUCCGGUGUCAUGCAUUCUCAAUUAACAAACUCUGAUCCACCAAAUGCUAAGGCGAUACCAGAGAGUUCUAUUCCUGUUAAGAAAAGUGUGACUUCUGUUGAAGCAUCUGUGCAGGAGGUUAAGAAGAUAUCCAACCCAACUUAUUCUGAAAAAAAGGCUAAGCAAAAGAGAUUUGAACCAGUGCCAUCUUAUUGGAAGACUAAUGGAAAUACCAUUCUGAGUCAUCAGUAGAAGUAUUUUUGCAGUCACUUGGCCUCGAGAAAUACAUAAUAACGUUUAAGGUUGAGGAGGUUGAUAUGGCAGCUCUUAUGCACAUGACUGAAUCUGAUCUUAAGGCCCUAGGAAUUCCGAUGGGUCCAAGAAAGAAGAUACUUCGAGCAUUGGAAUCGAGGUCUUAGGAGGAUGACAUCGCUGUGUUGGGAACCUUUGGAGAUGUGUAAAUCAUGCAAAUCUUUAUAGUAUAUGCAUAUUUUAUUUUGCAGCGAGCGUAGUAAACCUCUGCUGAUUGUUAUUCAUGUUCUCAAUCAAUGCCUGAUCGGUUUGUUGUUACCUCCGACUUUGGAGGCCUUUAUUUCUGUUUUUCAUGCUGCUAAUGUUCGAUCUGCUAAUUAAAGACACAUCGAGGGCCUUAAUUUUUCCAUGGUUAUUGACAUAUGUGAUUAGAAUGUCACCAAAUAUACAUCAAAGUGGAAGCAUUUUCAUGGAAGUUAUUUUUAUUGCUGAA